rnacentral:rRNA from 1 species
GACGAACGCUGGCGGCGUGCCUACUACAUGCAAGUAGGACGCAGUUGCGAACGGGUGAGUAACGCGUAGGUAACUACCUAUUAGUGGGGGAUAACUAUUGGAUACGAUAGCUAAUACCGCAUACUAGUAGAUGGACCUGCGUUGUAUUAGCUAGUAGGUAGGGUAAUGGCCUACCUAGGCAACGAUACAUAACCGACCUGGGGGGGUGAUCGGCGACACUGGGAAUGAGACACGGCGCAGACUCCUACGGGAGGCAGCAGGAGGGAAUCUUCGGAAAGGGGGGGAACCCUGACCGAGCAACGACGCGUGAGUGAAGAAGGUUUUCGGAUCGGAAAGCUCUGUUGUUAAGGAAGCGGUACUUAACCAGAAAGGGACGGCUAACUACGUGACAGCAGCCGCGGUAAUAC